rnacentral:rRNA from 1 species
AUGCAGGAUAUGGCGCUGGCGAUGCAACACUCUUACCUUCUGGUGGUAUUGCAGUCCGAUUCUUCAGAGGCCUUGUCAAGUUUGUCAAAUACUGCCAUAGUUCGUUCGGCGUAUGGCCAGAUAGUCCUUCAGAUUAAGGAUCUCCUUGGUAGUAGGGAGAUUUUUCCUCAGAAAAUUAGUCGUACUCAAAAUAGAGUUGUUGAUCGGUUGGCCAAUUAUAGCCGAUCUAAGCGAGCCACCGCUGUGUGGCUACGCUCGGUACCACCUUGUAUCAAGGGUUGGUUGCCUCUUAACUGCAACUCUAUGAACUUGCAAUAA